AAUUUUAUAUUCAAAGUAAUGAUGUUAAAUUGCAAAUUUAAAGGUAUUAAAUUAAUUAA
rnacentral:tRNA from 2 species